CACCCCAGCUCCGCUUCCUCUGGGCCUUACUUAGCCUCAGGUCGGGAGGAUUCUGACAAGAAAAAAAAAAGGCGCAUGUUAUCAAUGAGAUAGAUAAUUUUGGCUGGGUAGGAGAAUGCUUUUCGUCCGGAAGUACCAGAGAAUUAUUUCGGCACCAGUGGAGUUUGGAUUUUCCGGAGCACUCUGGUCAGCAGCCCCACCGCGUUGAAUCUGUUUAAGAUGCAAUGGGAAAAAUCACGCACUCAGCGUUCCCAAGCCGAGUGUCAAGGGAGCCUUAAAAGUUGACCUCUGGAAGAAAGAGUCAAUAGAAGUUAAGUGCAGUUUAAUUAAAAAGGAAAAAUUCAUAGAAAAAUCAAUGUUUUUAAGCUAUUCCUAUUCACUUUCUCAACUUUUAGUUCUGGCUUGCUUGCAUAAUGCUACCGUUUCAACUUCAGGGCCUUCAGUAAAACUUAGAAUUGUGGUUUUAUCGCAACCCAUCUGUGACAUGAAAAUAAUGGACGUCUCCUCCUAGUUCAGUUCCUUCAUUGCCUGUGGGAUGACAGGCUGAAAGGUUUCUGAUUAUUUUCACUGCCUUCAGCAGAAGUCCAGCCUGUAUUUGUUUCUGAUCAAUCCUUGAGUCUGAUCAUAGGUCAAAUGAAAGAUUGCUAGAGGUUGAACAUGUGUGUUUUACCCCACACUGGGAAAUGCUACAGAGGAGCCAAAUGUCCCUAUAUAAAAAGCAGUGCAUGGCAUCUAAACAGUACAUCAGCAUGGGAACCAGAGGUUAGGAAAACAUUACAUUGUUUGAAUUUUUUUUUGUUCAUUUUAUUAGCUACAAGAAAUGUUUAGCUAUAAAGUCCACUGUGUAAAUCAAGAUAGGAAGUAAGCCUUCACAGAAAAUCAUAACCAAGAUGAAAACUAGGGACAAACCAGGUAUUUUAUUAAAUGCUUUUGCAGUGACUUUUCUUGGCCCCGGUAUUUUAAGUCAGUCAUGUGAAUUAGAUUUAUUUUUAAGCAUAGGGCUUAAAAUAAUCUGGCAGUUUCCCUGAAAUAAAUUUCCUAAACCCUGCUUGUCCUUUAUUACCAUUUUUAGGUAUUCUUAGGAUUUUUUUUUUUUUCAGAGAAAUGAACAUGAUGUUGUUUUCCAUUUGGAAACACAUGAAAAAAUGUAGGUAGCUAAGACAAGGCAAGUUGUUGACAAUGCUCCUACGGGAAGCAUGUGUGAAGUGUAUGUGUAUUUACCUACAAGGCUAUUCUGAUGAUUGUAACAUACCACUACUUACAUUUUAACAUUAGAUGUUUGUUUUUGACAGGUCCACUCUACUAAAUAGCCAAAACUAUAGGAGCAUGCCAUGGCACCCAGCUAAAUUUAUUUUUACAUUAAAAAGUACCUGCGUGUGAUAGGGUAGAACCAUGACAUUAAUGUCUCCAUCUUUAAAAUUCUGAGGACAGGAGGACUGGAGCAAUGGCAUAAUGUUAAAGAGUGCCAGAGUUGGGUUCCCAGCACCCAUGUCAGGCUCUCAGCUCCCUCUUCUAUCCCUGAUGGCACCAUAUAUGUAUAGUGUACACUAACACAGACACAUUAAAAAUUUUUUUAAAAUCUUAAAAAAUAAAAUUCUAUUGUAUAAAUUAUAACUAAUUUUUUAAUGAAUGAUAGUUUAAAUCAUUCUGAAGGAUGUUGAGAUCCCCAAAUGCAAUUGCAAAAUACUAAUACCGCCGUGUAUGAAUAUCUUCAUUGUAUAAAUGUUAUAGAAUAUAAUAACUUUUCUUUAAGGAGCAAAAGUAAUAGAGGAUGAUCUAUUAUUGAAACUUAAGAUUAUAUUAAGGUGCAUACAAAUAGCUUAUCAAGGGCUAGACACUACUCUAUAAACUAUAUAUUAUCUCAUUAAAACUUAAACAAAGGACUGAAGUUAAGAGCACUUGCUGCUCUUCUAGAAGUUGUGAGUUUGUUCCUAGAACCCAUUUCAGACAACUCACAACCACGUGUAACUCCAGCUUCAGGAGAGCUGGCAUUUCUAGUCUCUGAAGGUACCCAUACUCAUGGCAUACAGACAUGGACAUUCACACGUAGACAUAGAAAUAAAUAUGUAUUAGUAAUUUUAAACAAACUCUGUUUUGAGUAAACCUGUACCACCAAUGGAGAAACAGGUGCUCAAGAUCAUAACAGCUUCCUUGUUCAUUAGUCAUAAAAGAACCAAAAUGGAGCAGAAAUAAUUUCCCAACAAUAGUAAUAUUGGGAAGACUUGCAACUACUGUUCAAUCCGAAUGGAGAACCAACAAUGCAUUGUUUUGUUUGCAUCAGAAAUGAUUUAAAUGAUUCCUUGUAAGAGAAGUAUCAAUAUGAUAAUGGUACAUAGUGGAAGUUGUAAACUGAUUCUGUAGGUUCAGAGUAAAGAAGAUUUUGGCAGUGUUUAAUAACAUUGGAUUGGCUGACCAUUCCUAAACACUGGGCCCAAGAACCAGUGGCAUCCCUUGAAGUUUCCAUGAUUUGUAGCAAAGUAAGAAAAAUAAAGAUGUAAUGAUCACAUUUGCAGUGUACAUACAACUAAAACAGAAGUGAUAAAAGGCUAACAUGACCUGGGAGCAAGAAGAACAGGCAAAUUCAUAAAGUAUUAUAUACUUUGCAAGUUCAUAAAUGUUGUCCAACAAAGAAAAAUCUUUUAAAAGAUGUAUUAUUUUCAUAAACAAAACAGAACUAGUUAAAAAGAGUGUCUUUUAAUCUUUACUGUUUUUAAAAAAAUUAAACAUAGCUUUUCUUUAAGGAUGAAAAAUAAUAAUGGUCUGUGGGUUUGCUUGUUUGUUUGAAUUUAGUUUGUAUUGGUUUGUUGUUGCUGCUCAGUACUGAGGCUGGGACUUCACAUAUGCUAAGCACGUGUCUUGCCACUGAGCUGUAACUCCAGCUCCUAGAAUCUUUUUUUUAAAAUGUUCUUACUCAGCAAUUAAAGAUUAUAGAGUUGGUAACUCUACGCAAACAUAUAGACUAAAUUGGUCAUAUUUUUGUUAAUUUUUCUGGACUUAGAGACUCAGACAUCUGGAAACACUUAAUUUAGAUGAGACUCAUACUAGAACCUACAGUGAAGAAACUACAGUGCCGGAAGAAUUGGAAUGAGGCAUUGUUGGGAGAGAGCACAGGGAAAUUAGAUUGCGGUAUAGACUUCAAUAUAAUGAAACAAAUUGCACAUUUCUCUUAUUUGGUUAUUUGGUGGAAAAUACACUUGGUUGAAUGUUUAUACAAUUUCUUCAUAAAUAUUGGGGGAAAAUAUUGUGAGAGGUAGCCUCCAAAGAUGGCUUCCAGCGAACUAUGCCUCCGAAUCCACUCUGGAGUUCCCACCCACACUGAAGAUAGGCUGAGACUUUUACCAGCAGAAUGCAACACAGGUACUAUGCCAGGCCUAAGUUUUGAGAGUGUCUGGCAACUAACAGAUUUGUGCUCUAGGAAGUUGUACUAACUGAAAUCACCAUGGCACAAGGAAACCCAAGCUCAUCAAGCACCAGAAGAGAUCACGUGGGAGGAAGUGGAAGUCCAUCAGACUUUGAGAGCAAAUACCGCAGACCUGGCCUGCUCCAGAACCCAUGGAAGAGCUAUAUCUAUAUAGCUCCAGCUGUGCUUGAACUUGAAACCUUCCUUCGUUAGCCUCUCAAAUACUUAGAUACCUGCCAGCCCCAGCUUUUGAUGAGUCAGGCAUUAAGAGACUGGCUGAUCCCUCAAGCACUGCUUAUAGACAAGAAUCAUAAAAUAAUAAAAUGAAAUAUAAAAAAAACAGUGUCCCAGGAAAAAAGGAUUUUUACAAAACAUUUGGGCUUGGAAGUAAAUGACGUUUGACAUUUUUAGAUCUACUACAGCCUUGGUCCUGCCUGGGCAGAGUUGGGGAUUCGGGAAUCUGUCAAGAUUACAAGAAAAGUAUAUGGUCCUGUACCACACUCCAGCCUAAAGACUACACAUGACAGAAGAGUAAUUCUCCAAAGGAAAGCCACUGGUGAUCUGUUUUCAGUUGCCAGCAUUAAUUGGAUUGCUUUCAUGGCAUUACUUCCUGCUUCAACCAUGUGCAAUUCGUCACUUGCUUCAGCCUUUGACCAUUUCUUACAGGAAAACAGAAAUACCCAUUUUCAAGAAGUUAAAAAGACCUUGGACACCUAGACCUCUAAAGCAGAAGGGAAGGCUAUCCAGAAAAAGUUUACAAGCAGAGAAAAAAUGGACCUAUUGGUACCAAUAUACUCUACAGGGUAAAAUAUCACUGCCUAACAGCCAUAUCUCUUUACUUCUGAGAAAAGUUGUGGUCCUGACUCAAUUAUAAAUCAAAUUUGUUUUAGAGUUGGAACAUGGCUCUCUCCUUUUCUUAACCCAAUUAUGUUGUUAAAAGAAAAAAUUAAGAGAUUCUGUCUCAUAUUAGAAGAGCCACCUGGUGUGGAACAGAAGAAAACCAAUAAUCUAGAGAUUAUCCUUGUCAAGAUUCUAUUUCUCUCUAUGCUUAUUCUUGAUUCUUUAGAACCUUUCUUUACAUAUUAUGUCAUCUUAAAAUUUAAAUUUCCAUUUUGGUAUUAAUAAUGUUCAAGUUUUCCACAAUGAAAAAAUAAAUCUUC